GUCCACGCCGUAACGAUGAAUGUUAGCCGUCGGCAGUUACUGUUCGGUGGCGCAGCUAACGCAUUAACAUUCCGCCUGGGAGUACGGUCGCAAGAUUAAACUCAAGGAAUUGACGGGCCCGCACAAGCGGUGGAGCAUGUGGUUUAAUUCGAAGCAACGCGCAGAACCUUACCAGCUCUUGACAUUCGGGUAUGGGCAGUGGAGACAUUGUCCUUCAGUUCGGCUGGCCCUAGAACAGGUGCUGCAUGGCUGUCGU
rnacentral:rRNA from 1 species